GAGCUCCAGAUCGUCAGGACUGCCGUGAUCUAAGGGAGAGGAGGAUUUGUUGAGAUGUGUUUUGCUGGCGGUAAUCAGAUCUUGGAGACUCAGGCAGAGUUAAAUGAUUGUUGAAGGACACUGUCAACUCUGUUUCAAUUGAUCUGAUGUUCAACAUUGCUUCAGAAUGCCAGUGCUCAGUGACAAAGACAAAUUACAGGCCUCCCUUGCAAGACAUGGUUGGUUUCUAUACAAAAGGCCAAGGUCAGGAACUUGCUGUGUAGAGAAUGGUGGCCCUGAACCCAAGUCCUAUUACUUCACCA